AGCAGCCGCGGUAAUUCCAGCUCCAAUAGCGUAUAUUAAAGUUGUUGCAGUUAAAAAGCUCGUAGUUGAAUUUCGGGAUCAAUACGUCGGUCGUGCUUAGGUACGUACUGGCGUAAUUGAUUUCUCCCUUCUGACGAACCAUGAUGUCAUUAACUUGGUGUCAUGGGAAAUCAGGACUGUUACUUUGAAAAAAUUAGAGUGUUUAAAGCAGGCUCACGCUUGAAUACAUUAGCAUGGAAUAAUGAAAUAGGACGUUCGAUCCUAUUUUGUUGGUUUUUAGGAUCAACGUAAUGAUUAAUAGGGAUAGUUGGGGGCAUUAGUAUUCAAUUGUCAAAGGUGAAAUUCUUGGAUUUAUUGAAGACUAACUACUGCGAAAGCAUUUGCCAAGGAUGUUUUCAUUAAUCAAGAACGAAAGUUAGGGGAUCGAAGACGAUCAGAUACCGUCGUAGU
rnacentral:rRNA from 1 species